GACAGAGGUGCCGAGCGUUAGGCGGAAUCACUGGGCUUAAAGCGUGUGUAGGCGGAGGCCUAAGUACCUUGUGAAAUCCCACGGCUCAACCGUGGAACUGCUUGGUAUACUGGGUCUCUUGAGCCACCUAGGGGCAAGUGGAACAAACGGUGGAGCGGUGAAAUGCGUAGAUAUUGGAAGGAACGCCGGUGGCGAAAGCGACACACUGGACCUUGUCUGACGCUGAGGCACGAAAGCCAGGGGAGCAAACGGG
rnacentral:rRNA from 1 species